AUGCUGUGCCCAUGGCAGUUUGUGUUCAAAUCUCGUGCUGCCAAGACCCAGUACCCCCAGGAGAAGGAUAUCAACAACAACGUGGAGAAAAAUAGGAAGAUCCAUGGCUCAGAAAAGGAUGAUGCCAAGUUGCACAAUCCGAGCAAGAAGCAGAUGGAGAGGCUGCCUAUCAUAACUUCAGCAAAGCCCAGUGAGGGAGGAGAGAAUCUCCCUUCAAAUGACAUCAAACUUUCAAACCAAGUAUCAGGAUGUCCAAGACAUGUAAGAGUAAGAAACUUGGAAAAUGGAUCCAGCUUUCUUGACACACUACACCUGACUGCAAAAGAGGUUAUCAAUUGCCAGACCAAAGCCUGCCAAGGGUCACUCAUGACCCCAAAGGGCCUGGUGAGAGGUACCAGAGAUGGGCCGGUUCCACUACAGGAUCUUUUACCUCAGGCAAUAGACUUCCUCAAGCAAUACUACAGUUCAUUUAAAGAGCCAAAAAUCAAAGAAGAGCUGGGCCGGCUGGAAGCAGUGACCAAGGAGAUAGAAACAACAGGAACUUACCACCUGACAAAGGAUGAGUUGGCCUUUGCUGCCAAGCAGGCCUGGAGGAAUGCCCCCAGGUGCAUUGGGAGGAUCCAGUGGUCCAACCUGCAGGUGUUUGAUGCACGAGACUGUAAAACAGCCAAGGAAAUGUUUGAGCAUAUCUGUCAUCAUAUUCAGUAUGCCACAAACAAUGGUAAUAUAAGGUCAGCCAUCACGGUGUUCCCGCACAGGACGGACGGGCAGCACGAUUUCCGUGUGUGGAACAGCCAGCUGAUCCGCUACGCUGGCUACCAAAUGUCAGAUGGCUCUGUCCUUGGAGACCCUGCUGCUGUGGAGUUCACUCAGUUGUGCAUUGAACUUGGGUGGAAGCCGAAAUAUGGCCGCUUUGAUGUACUUCCACUUGUUCUCCAAGCAAAUGGCCAAGACCCAGAAAUAUUUGAAUUACCUCCAGAAAUUGUCCUCCAAGUGCCAAUGGAGCAUCCAAAGUACAAGUGGUUUAAGGAGCUGGAGCUGAAGUGGUACGCGCUGCCUGCUGUGGCCAACAUGCUUCUGGAGGCAGGAGGGCUGGAGUUCCCCGCAUGCCCUUUCAAUGGCUGGUACAUGGGGACAGAGAUCGGCGUGCGGGACUUCUGCGACGCGCAGCGCUACAACAUCCUGAAGGAGGUAGGGAGGAGAAUGGGACUGGAAACAAAUAAACUGUCAUCAUUAUGGAAGGACCGAGCUGUUGUAGAGAUCAAUGUGGCUGUGCUUCACAGCUUCCAGAGACAGAAUGUAACCAUCAUGGAUCACCACUCAGCCUCCGAGUCCUUCCUGAAGUACAUGCAGAGCGAGUACCGCGCGCGGGGCGGCUGCCCGGCAGAUUGGGUGUGGAUCGUGCCUCCCAUGUCAGGCAGCAUAACCCCCGUGUUCCACCAAGAGAUGUUGAACUAUGUCCUCACUCCCUUCUAUUACUACCAGGUAGAUGCAUGGAAAACACAUGUAUGGCAUGAUGAGACCCGAAGGCGAAAGAAAAAAGAAAUAAAGUUUAGCAUCUUGGCAAAGGCUGUGCUCUUUGCAUCCUCACUGAUGCGAGGGGCAGUGGCCACCAGGGCCAAGGUCACCGUGAUCUACGCGACAGAAACGGGCAAGUCGGAGACGCUCGCCAACAGCCUGUGCAGCCUGUUCAGCUGUGCCUUCAGCACCAAGAUCCUCUGCAUGGAUGAGUACAAUAUUUGUGACCUGGAAAAAGAAACACUUCUUUUAGUGGUUACUAGCACUUUUGGAAAUGGAGAUUCUCCAGGUAACGGAAAGACCUUGAAGGACUCUUUGCUCAGACUAAAACUGCUGAGAAAUAAAAUUAGGUAUGCUGUGUUUGGUCUGGGGUCCAGCAUGUACCCAGAGUUCUGUGCCUUUGCUCAUGCCAUUGACCAAAAACUGGCCCAACUCGGGGCUUCCCAGCUCACUCCAGUGGGUGAAGGGGAUGAACUCAAUGGGCAAGAAGAAGCUUUCCGCAGCUGGGCAGUCAGUGCUUUCAAGGCUGCCUGUGACAUCUUUAACGUCCGUGGGAGACACAGUAUUCAGUUGCCUAAGAUCUACACCUCUGAGGAAAGGUGGGACCCUACCAAUUACAGGCUAGUGCAUGACUCCCAGCCCAUGGACCUGGCUAAAGCUCUUGCAAACAUUCAUGCCAAGGAUGUAAUUCCCAUGAAGCUGAAAUUUAGGCAGAAUCUUCAAAGUUUGAAGUCCAGUCGUGUCACCAUUCUGGUUAAACUUCAGUGUGAGACAGAUCAGGAAGUGCACUACCUUCCCGGGGAGCACAUCGGGAUUUUCCCAGGCAACCAAGCAGAAUUAGUCCAUGGCAUUAUUGCACAUGUCAAGGAUGCCCCUCCAGCUGAUCAGACUAUCAGGCUUGAAACCUGCAUUGAUGGUGGGUACUGGGCAAGUCACAAAAAGAUUCCAGCCUGCACACUACCUGAGGCUUUGACAUACUUGCUUGAUAUCACUACUCCACCCUCCCAACAACUGCUAAAAAAACUCUCCCAGCUGGUGACAGCAGAAGGAGAUAAGCAAAGGCUGGAGGUGCUGUGUCAGAGCACAGAAGAAUACAAUAAAUGGAAGUUUUACAACAGCCCAAACAUCCUGGAGGUGCUGGAGGAGUUCCCCUCUGCUGAGGUCUCUGCAGCUUUCCUGCUGACUCAGCUGCCACUUCUGAAGCCCAGGUACUAUUCUGUCAGCUCCUCCUGUGACCUGACAGCCAGAGAGAUUCAUCUGACAGUUGCAGUUGUAAACUACAGGACAAGAGAUGGUGAAGGGCCUUUGCACCAUGGAGUCUGCAGCACCUGGCUGAACACAAUAGAGCUCAAUGAAACCGUUCCCUGCUUCAUCCGCAGUGCUAAUGAGUUCCACCUCCCGGAGGAGCCAUCCAAGCCCUGCAUUCUGAUCGGCUCAGGCACGGGGAUUGCUCCCUUCAGGAGCUUCUGGCUGCAGCGCCUCUAUGACCUGGAGCACAGAGGGCUCAGAGGAGGGAACAUGACCCUGCUGUUCGGCUGCCGGCAUCCAGACCUGGAUCACAUCUACAGGGAAGAGACUGAGGAGAUGAAGAGGAAGGGAGUCCUGAGUGAUGUCUACACAGCUUACUCCAGACUGCCUGGCCAAGAGAAAGUGUACGUCCAGGACGUGCUGCAGGGGCAGCUGGCGGCCCGCGUGUGCGAGGUGCUGCAGGGGCAGCAGGGCCAUGUGUACGUGUGCGGGGACGUGCGCAUGGCGCGGGACGUGGCCGGGGCGCUGCGGGCGCUGCUCGCCCGCGCCCUGCGCCUCAGCCAGCAGCAGGCCAGCGAGUUCCUGCAGCAGCUCAAGAGCCAAAAGCGAUACCAUGAAGAUAUAUUUGGGGCUGUGUUCGCACAUGAAGUCAAAAGAGCUUUGCAACCCACCAGCUGAAGAACAAACUAACUUGUGUUUUAGACAAUAUUUGCACAUCCGUUGCUAUUUUCAAAAAACAAAGACUCAAAUCCUCCUUCUUACACUUGUUCAAUCAUGCAUGUGUAUAGGAUUGUGGGAUUUGACUCUUAAACCUCAGCCUUAAUUAUGUAAAAUAUUAAAUUUAACUUUUUUUGCUAUUUAUUCUGACAUUUUAAUACAUUAUCUUAAUAGUGAAAGUGCAAAUUAUUUUUUAAUACCAUCUAUGCUAGUAUAAAUCUGGUCAUUUUUAUACAUACAAGGAAAAUCUACAGUUUUGUACUAACUAGAGCUUGAAAUCUUUUUUUUUAAUGUACUGUUUAUCUUUGUGACCUUAUUUAUAUCAGAUUGGUUUACUUGCAUAUUAUCUUCACUUGAAAGCAGGUGAAUGCAUGGUUGUGUUGCUGGGAGUCGUCUGGCCAUGUGCCUGGAUCUGGAGCAGUGUUUGCAAAUGAAAUAAUAAUGUGCUGGUCCCAAAGUGGCAACUCCUGCUGCAUCCUCCUCAGGAGCUGGAAUUGAUGAAGGCAGAGUUGAGACUCCAAAGUCAGCAGUGCUGUGUGUGAACAGUGUGUUUCACACGUGCUGCAGGACAGCCCUUAGCCACAGGACCUGGAACUCGGCUGGGUUACUGAGGUAGCUGUGCACCCCGCUGGGCUGGGACUGGACUGGGCGUUACAGAUUAACACUUCUGCAGCCUGCUCCAGCAAGUACCUCCCUCCUGACUGAAAGCCCCUGGUGAGCACACAUUGCGGGCAGCAUGCACUGUACAGCACAAAGGGGAAAGAAGGAGAAAAAGCAGCUUUUUGCUUCGGUCCUUUUCCAAAAAGGAAAAGGAGAAAUGUUCUUCAAUAAUCAGUUUCCUGCAAAGAUAUCUUGCUGAUACCCUUCAAAAAUUGGUAAGAAAGACAUUUUCAUUUUAUCAGAUAAUAAGAUACCCUUUUACACCUUGUUUAAGGCACAACCAUGUAUUCACAAACCUACAGCUGCCUGUGAACUGCUGGUCAGCCCCUCCUUGCAGAGUCUGCUGCCAGACAGGGGUGUACCUGGGAAGUUGAACCGCCCGUCCCUCUGGCCCAUGGGGGACGGGUUUGGGGGCGGCGUCGCACUGGGAGGGUUGGAAGAAUGGAAAGGUGCUGGAGAAGAUGGAGUGGAUGAGGUUGUAGAAGAAGGAUUACUGCUGGAGUCCAGGUGGUUUAUUGCUGGUGGAUGCUCCUGCAAAGCAGAGAAAGACACGCGUGAGAGAACGAGAAAGAGGAGCCUCCCCUCAGUGUCUGCUGGACAACAGAUAGAGGGAACUUGUUCACAGGCUUGAUUGUGGCGUUGCCUUUCUGAAUAAACACCUGGAGCUCUGGACAACCCCUGCUUUACCGGGAGAAAAUGUCUCAUAUCCAAGUCUUGCAAAGUGAAAGCUCUCACUCCAACCAGUGAGAUCCAACCUCUCCCUGUUGCAGCUCCCCAGGGACUCUGGACAUGCUUCAGCCAUCUCAUACCUUUUUAGUUAGUGCUUUGGGGAGAGUUCCAAACUGGGGUUCUGUGGGUCUGUCUACUGGAUUAUUGAUAUCAGAUGGGACAGACUCUGUUCUUCUUAUUUUUGUUACUGAAAAACAGGUUGGAGAAGGGAGAAAAACCGCUUUAAUGAGACUUUUUAUUCUUUCCGUACCAUCAAUUAUAUUGAAAUGCCAAGAAUUUGUAGAAAAUUACUUACUGGGAAGGAAGGAUAUUCUACAAGCAGGUGCCUCUUUAGUACAUUUGUUGUGACAUUUUAAUCUGAAAGAUAACCAUUACAUGUUAAAUAGCAACUUGUUCUUUCCAGAAA